rnacentral:tRNA from 1 species
GGCUCUGUGGCGCAAUGGAUAGCGCAUUGGACUUCUAAUUCAAAGGUUGUGGGUUAGAGUCCCACCAGAGUCG